rnacentral:tRNA from 2 species
GUCUCCGUAGCUCAGUGGAUAGAGCACUGGUUUCCGGUACCAAAGGUCGCAGGUUCGAAUCCUGUCGGGGACACCA